rnacentral:rRNA from 1 species
AUUGAACGCUGGCGGCAGGCCUAACACAUGCAAGUCGAACGGCAGCACAGCAGAGCUUGCUCUGUGGGUGGCGAGUGGCGGACGGGUGAGGAAUACAUGGGAAUCUGCCCAGUCGUGGGGGAUAACGUAUGGAAACGUACGCUAAUACCGCAUGCGCCCUACGGGGGAAAGUCGGGGACCGCAAGGCCUGACGCGAUUGGAUGAGCCCAUGUUCGAUUAGCUAGUUGGCGGGGUAAAGGCCCACCAAGGCGACGAUCGAUAGCUGGUCUGAGAGGAUGAUCAGCCACACUGGAACUGAGACACGGUCCAGACUCCUACGGGAGGCAGCAGUAGGGAAUAUUGGACAAUGGGGGCAACCCUGAUCCAGCCAUGCCGCGUGAGUGAAGAAGGCCCUCGGGUUGUAAAGCUCUUUUGUCCGGAAAGAAAAGCAAUCGGUUAAUACCCGGUUGUCCUGACGGUACCGGAAGAAUAAGCACCGGCUAA